rnacentral:rRNA from 1 species
GAUGAACGCUGGCGGCGUGCCUAAUACAUGCAAGUCGAGCGACCAGACGAGGAGCUUGCUCCCCUGACGUUAGCGGCGGACGGGUGAGUAACACGUGGAUAACCUACCUAUAAGACUGGGAUAACUUCGGGAAACCGGAGCUAAUAACGGAUAAUAUAUUGAACCGCAUGGAUCAAUAGUGAAAGACGGUUUUGCUGUCACUUAUAGAUGGAUCCGCGUCGCAUUAGCUAGUUGGUAAGGUAACGGCUUACCAAGGCGACGAUGCGUAGCCGACCUGAGAGGGUGAUCGGCCACACUGGAACUGAGACACGGUCCAGACUCCUACGGGAGGCAGCAGUAGGGAAUCUUCCACAAUGGGCGAAAGCCUGACGGAGCAACGCCGCGUGAGUGAUGAAGGUCUUCGGGUCGUAAAACUCUUUUAUUAGGGAAGAACAAAUGUGGGAUUAACUAUGCACGUCUUGACGGUACCUAAUCAGUAAGCCCCGGCUAACUACGUG